UACGGGGGGUGCGAGCGUUGUCCGGAUUCACUGGGCGUAAAGGGCGCGUAGGCGGCCGCGUCAGUCGGGCCUGUAAGUGCGGGGCUCAACCCCGUGAUGGGCUCGGGACGGCGCGGCUGGGGCGCGGCAGAGGGAGACGGAAUGCCGGGUGUAGUGGUGAAAUGCGUAGAGAUCCGGCGGAACACCGGUGGCGGAGGCGGUCUCCUGGGCCGAGGGCCGACGCUGAGGCGCGAGAGCGUGGGGAGCGAACCGG
rnacentral:rRNA from 1 species